UUAAGCGACUAAGCGUACACGGUGGAUGCCCUGGCAGUCAGAGGCGAUGAAGGACGUGCUAAUCUGCGAAAAGCGUCGGUAAGGUGAUAUGAACCGUUAUAACCGGCGAUGUCCGAAUGGGGAAACCCAGUGCAAUUCGUUGCACUAUCGUUAACUGAAUACAUAGGUUAACGAGGCGAACCGGGGGAACUGAAACAUCUAAGUACCCCGAGGAAAAGAAAUCAACCGAGAUUCCCCCAGUAGCGGCGAGCGAACGGGGAGCAGCCCAGAGUCUGAAUCAGCUUGUGUGUUAGUGGAACGGUCUGGAAAGUCCGACGGUACAGGGUGAUAGUCCCGUACACCAAAAUGCACAGGUUGUGAACUCGAAGAGUAGGGCGGGACACGUGGUAUCCUGUCUGAAUAUGGGGGGACCAUCCUCCAAGGCUAAAUACUCCUGACUGACCGAUAGUGAACCAGUACCGUGAGGGAAAGGCGAAAAGAACCCCGGCGAGGGGAGUGAAAAAGAACCUGAAACCGUGUACGUACAAGCAGUGGGAGCACCUUCGGGUGUGACUGCGUACCUUUUGUAUAAUGGGUCAGCGACUUAUAUUCUGUAGCAAGGUUAACCGUAUAGGGGAGCCGCAGGGAAACCGAGUCUUAACUGGGCGUUAAGUUGCAGGGUAUAGACCCGAAACCCGGUGAUCUAGCCAUGGGCAGGUUGAAGGUUGGGUAACACUAACUGGAGGACCGAACCGACUAAUGUUGAAAAAUUAGCGGAUGACUUGUGGCUGGGGGUGAAAGGCCAAUCAAACCGGGAGAUAGCUGGUUCUCCCCGAAAGCUAUUUAGGUAGCGCCUCGUGAACUCAUCUUCGGGGGUAGAGCACUGUUUCGGCUAGGGGGUCAUCCCGACUUACCAACCCGAUGCAAACUACGAAUACCGAAGAAUGUUAUCACGGGAGACACACGGCGGGUGCUAACGUCCGUCGUGAAGAGGGAAACAACCCAGACCGCCAGCUAAGGUCCCAAAGUCAUGGUUAAGUGGGAAACGAUGUGGGAAGGCACAGACAGCCAGGAUGUUGGCUUAGAAGCAGCCAUCAUUUAAAGAAAGCGUAAUAGCUCACUGGUCGAGUCGGCCUGCGCGGAAGAUGUAACGGGGCUAAACCAUGCACCGAAGCUGCGGCAGCGACACUAUGUGUUGUUGGGUAGGGGAGCGUUCUGUAAGCCUGCGAAGGUGACCUGUGAGGGUUGCUGGAGGUAUCAGAAGUGCGAAUGCUGACAUAAGUAACGAUAAAGCGGGUGAAAAGCCCGCUCGCCGGAAGACCAAGGGUUCCUGUCCAACGUUAAUCGGGGCAGGGUGAGUCGACCCCUAAGGCGAGGCCGAAAGGCGUAGUCGAUGGGAAACAGGUUAAUAUUCCUGUACUUGGUGUUACUGCGAAGGGGGGACGGAGAAGGCUAUGUUAGCCGGGCGACGGUUGUCCCGGUUUAAGCAUGUAGGCUGGUUGUCCAGGCAAAUCCGGAUAAUCAAGGCUGAGGUGUGAUGACGAGGCACUACGGUGCUGAAGUAACAAAUGCCCUGCUUCCAGGAAAAGCCUCUAAGCAUCAGGUAACAUUAAAUCGUACCCCAAACCGACACAGGUGGUCAGGUAGAGAAUACCAAGGCGCUUGAGAGAACUCGGGUGAAGGAACUAGGCAAAAUGGUGCCGUAACUUCGGGAGAAGGCACGCUGGUGUGUAGGUGAAGUCCCUGCGGAUGGAGCUGAGACCAGUCGAAGAUACCAGCUGGCUGCAACUGUUUAUUAAAAACACAGCACUGUGCAAACACGAAAGUGGACGUAUACGGUGUGACGCCUGCCCGGUGCCGGAAGGUUAAUUGAUGGGGUUAUCCGUAAGGAGAAGCUCUUGAUCGAAGCCCCGGUAAACGGCGGCCGUAACUAUAACGGUCCUAAGGUAGCGAAAUUCCUUGUCGGGUAAGUUCCGACCUGCACGAAUGGCGUAAUGAUGGCCAGGCUGUCUCCACCCGAGACUCAGUGAAAUUGAACUCGCUGUGAAGAUGCAGUGUACCCGCGGCAAGACGGAAAGACCCCGUGAACCUUUACUAUAGCUUGACACUGAACAUUGAGCCUUGAUGUGUAGGAUAGGUGGGAGGCUUUGAAGCGUGGACGCCAGUCUGCGUGGAGCCAACCUUGAAAUACCACCCUUUAAUGUUUGAUGUUCUAACGUUGGCCCCUUAUCGGGGUUGCGGACAGUGUCUGGUGGGUAGUUUGACUGGGGCGGUCUCCUCCCAAAGCGUAACGGAGGAGCACGAAGGUUAGCUAAUCCUGGUCGGACAUCAGGAGGUUAGUGCAAUGGCAUAAGCUAGCUUGACUGCGAGCGUGACGGCGCGAGCAGGUGCGAAAGCAGGUCAUAGUGAUCCGGUGGUUCUGAAUGGAAGGGCCAUCGCUCAACGGAUAAAAGGUACUCCGGGGAUAACAGGCUGAUACCGCCCAAGAGUUCAUAUCGACGGCGGUGUUUGGCACCUCGAUGUCGGCUCAUCACAUCCUGGGGCUGAAGUAGGUCCCAAGGGUAUGGCUGUUCGCCAUUUAAAGUGGUACGCGAGCUGGGUUUAGAACGUCGUGAGACAGUUCGGUCCCUAUCUGCCGUGGGCGCUGGAGAAUUGAGGGGGGCUGCUCCUAGUACGAGAGGACCGGAGUGGACGCAUCACUGGUGUUCGGGUUGUCAUGCCAAUGGCACUGCCCGGUAGCUAAAUGCGGAAGAGAUAAGUGCUGAAAGCAUCUAAGCACGAAACUUGCCCCGAGAUGAGUUCUCCCUGAGACUUUAAGUCUCCUGAAGGAACGUUGAAGACGACGACGUUGAUAGGCCGGGUGUGUAAGCGCAGCGAUGCGUUGAGCUAACCGGUACUAAUGAACCGUGAGGCUUAACCUU
rnacentral:rRNA from 1 species